AUUCCAGCUCCAAUAGCGUAUAUUAAAGUUGUUGCAGUUAAAAAGCUCGUAGUUGGAUCUUGGGUCGUAAGGGUCGGUCCGCCUACUCGGUGUGCACCUGCCCUUCCGUCCCUUUUGUCGGCGGCGUGCUCCUGGCCUUAAUUGGCUGGGUCGCGGUUCCGGCGCUGUUACUUUGAAAAAAUUAGAGUGCUCAAAGCAAGCUUAUGCUCUGAAUACAUUAGCAUGGAAUAACGUGUUAGGAGUCUGGUCCUAUUGUGUUGGCCUUCGGGGCCGGAGUAAUGAUUAAUAGGGACUGUCGGGGGCAUUCGUAUUUCAUUGUCAGAGGUGAAAUUCUUGGAUUUAUGAAAGACGGACCACUGCGAGAGCAUUUGCCAAGGAUGCUUUCAUUG
rnacentral:rRNA from 1 species